rnacentral:rRNA from 1 species
AUUGAACGCUGGCGGCAGGCCUAACACAUGCAAGUCGAGCGAGCGGCGGACGGGUGAGUACUGUAUGGGGACUGCCCGAUAGAGGGGGCUAACUACUGGAAACGGUAGCUAAUACCGCAUCCUAUCGGAUAACCCAUAUGGGAUUAGCUAGUAGGUGAGGUACUGGCUCACCUAGGCGACGAUCCCUAGCUGGUCUGAGAGGAUGCUCAGGCAAACUGGGACUGAGACACGGCCCAGAGUCCUACGGAGGCAGCAGUGGGGAAUAUAGCAGAAUGGGCGCAAGCCAGAUGCAGCCAUGCCGCGUGAAUGAAGAAGGCCCUAGGGUUGUAAAGUACUUUCAGUCGGGAGGCGUUACCGACAGAAGAAGCACCGGCUAACUCCGUGCCAGCAGACGCGGUAAUUC